GGUCAGGAUGAAUGCUGGCGGCGUGCCUAAUACAUGCAAGUCGAGCGGUAACAGGGCUUCACCGUUCCUGACACUCCGGGCUAUAACGCGGGAGGUAGAUUCGAGGGAACAGUGAAGCUGCUGACGAGCGGCGGACGGCUGAGUAACGCGUGGGAACGGACCCCAAACUGAGGGAUAACUAGUCGAAAGAUUAGCUAAUACCGCAUGUGAUCUUCGGAUUAAAGGAUUUAUCCGGUUUGGGACUGGCCUGCGUACGAUUAGAUAGUUGGUAGGGUAAUGGCCUACCAAGUCGACGAUCGUUAGAUGGUUUGAGAAGAUGAUCAUCCAGACUGGGACUGAGACACGGCCCAGACUCCUACGGGAGGCAGCAGUAGGGAAUCUUUCACAAUGGGCGAAAGCCUGAUGGAGCAACGCCGCGUGCAGGAUGACGGCCUUCGGGUUGUAAACUGCUUUUAUAAGCGAGAAAUAUGAUGGUAACUUAUGAAUAAGGACCGGCUAACUACGUGCCAGCCGCCGC
rnacentral:rRNA from 1 species